rnacentral:rRNA from 2 species
CUGGCGGCAUGCCUAAUACAUGCAAGUCGAACGAACCAAACUGAAGAUUGAUGCUUGCAUCAUGAUUCAGACCUUGGUGAGUGGCGGACGGGUGAGUAACACGUGGGUAACCUGCCCAAAAGUGGGGGAUAACAUUUGGAAACAAGUGCUAAUACCGCAUAACAACUACUUUCACAUGAUCGUAGCUUGAAAGAUGGCUCUGCUAUCGCUUUUGGAUGGACCCGCGGCGUAUUACCUAGUUGGUGAGGUAAUAGCUCACCAAGGCAAUGAUACGUAGCCGACCUGAGAGGGUAAUCGGCCACAUUGGGACUGAGACACGGCCCAAACUCCUACGGGAGGCAGCAGUAGGGAAUCUUCCACAAUGGGCGAAAGCCUGAUGGAGCAAUGCCGCGUGAGUGAAGAAGGUUUUCGGAUCGUAAAACUCUGUUGUUGAAGAAGAACAUGCGUGAGAGUAACUGUUCACGUACUGACGGUAUUCAACCAGAAAGCCACGGCUAACUACGUGCCAGCAGCCGCGGUAAUACCUAGGUGGCAAGCGUUGUCCGGAUUUAUUGGGCGUAAAGAGAAUGUAGGCGGUUUAUUAAGUUUGAAGUGAAAGCCCUCGGCUCAACCGAGGAAGUGCUUCGAAAACUGGUAAACUUGAGUGCAGAAGAGGAAAGUGGAACUCCAUG